rnacentral:rRNA from 1 species
ACUAACAGGAUUCCCCUAGUAACUGCGAGUGAAGCGGGAAAAGCUCAAAUUUAAAAUCUGGCGGUCUUUGGCCGUCCGAGUUGUAAUCUAGAGAAGUAAUGCCCGUGCUGGACCGUGUAUAAGUCUCCUGGGAUGGGGCGUCAUAGAGGGUGAGAAUCCCGUCUUUGACACGGACUACCAGUGCAUUGUGGUAUGCUCUCAAAGAGUCGAGUUGUUUGGGAAUGCAGCUCAAAAUGGGUGGUAAAUUCCAUCUAAAGCUAAAUAUUGGCGAGAGACCGAUAGCGAACAAGUACCGUGAGGGAAAGAUGAAAAGAACUUUGGAAAGAGAGUUAAACAGUACGUGAAAUUGCUGAAAGGGAAACGCUUGAAGUCAGUCGCGUUGGCCGGGGAUCAGCCUUGCUUUUGCAUGGUGUACUUUCUGGUUGACGGGUCAGCAUCAAUUUUGACCGCUGGAAAAGGGCCUGGGGAAUGUGGCAGCUUCGGCUGUGUUAUAGCCUCUGGUUACAUACAGCGGUUGGGAUUGAGGAACUCAGCACGCCGCAAGGCCGGGUUUCGACCACGUUCGUGCUUAGGAUGCUGGCAUAAUGGCUUUAAGCGACCCGUCUUGAAACACGGACCAAGGAGUCUAACAUGCCUGCGAGUAUUUGGGUGAAAAACCCGAGUGCGCAAUGAAAGUGAAAGUUGAGAUCCCUGUCGUGGGGAGCAUCGACGCCCGGACCAGAACUUUUGGGACGGAUCCGCGGUGGAGCAUGUAUGUUGGGACCCGAAAGAUGGUGAACUAUGCCUGAAUAGGGUGAAGCCAGAGGAAACUCUGGUGGAGGCUCGUAGCGAUUCUGACGUGCAAAUCGAUCGUCAAAUUUGGGUAUAGG